rnacentral:pre_miRNA from 8 species
GAGAUGCUCAGUAGUCAGUGUAGAUCCUGUGUCACAAUCAGCAGCUACAUCUGGCUACUGGGUCUCUG